rnacentral:rRNA from 1 species
AGAUUGAACGCUGGCGGCAGGCCUAACACAUGCAAGUCGAGCGGCAGCACGGGUACUUGUACCUGGUGGCGAGCGGCGGACGGGUGAGUAAUGCCUAGGAAUCUGCCUGGUAGUGGGGGAUAACGCUCGGAAACGGACGCUAAUACCGCAUACGUCCUACGGGAGAAAGCAGGGGACCUUCGGGCCUUGCGCUAUCAGAUGAGCCUAGGUCGGAUUAGCUAGUUGGUGAGGUAAUGGCUCACCAAGGCGACGAUCCGUAACUGGUCUGAGAGGAUGAUCAGUCACACUGGAACUGAGACACGGUCCAGACUCCUACGGGAGCAGCAGUGGGGAAUAUUGGACAAUGGGCGAAAGCCUGAUCCAGCCAUGCCGCGUGUGUAGAAGAAGGUCUUCGGAUUGUAAAGCACUUUAAGUUGGAGGAAAGGCAAGUAAAAUUAAUACUUUAGCUGUUUUUGACGUUACCGACAAGAAUAAGCAACCGGCUAAACUCUGUG